rnacentral:ncRNA from 1 species
UAAAAAUUUGAUUUUAGUUUUUAGGUUUAGUUUAUAUUUUUAUUAUAUGUAAAUUUUAAUUAAAUUAUUUUAUAAAUUAAAAUAAUUUUAAUUUUAUAUGAGUGAUAGAAAUGCAAUAAAUAAAUUUAUACAAUAAAUGUAAGUUUGAUAUAGAUAUAUAUAAUAAUAUUGGUUAAAUUUGUGCCAGCAACCGCGGUUAAACAAAUAAUAUAAUUAAAUUUUUAUCUAAUAUUAAUAAAUAUGAAAAUAUUAAUAUAAAAAUUAAAUAUAUUAGGUGAAAUUAUAUAUUUAAAUAAAAUUAAAUAAUUUAAAAUUAUCAUUUUAUGAAAUUUUUUAAUAAACUAGGAUUAGAUACCCUAUUAUAAGAAAUGUAAAAUGAGUAUAUUAGGGGAGUAUUAGUUAUGUUCUUGAAAUUUAAAAAAUCUGGCGGUAUUUUAGUCUUUUCAGAGGAACCUGUCCUGUAAUUGAUAAUCCACAAUUAAUUUUACUUAACUUACUAGUUUACAUAUCGUCGUAGUUAGAAUGUCUUUAAAGGGAGUUAAAUAUUCAUAAUGUAAGAUUAUAGAGUAAAUCAGAUCAAGGUGUAGCUUAUAGUUAAGGAGAGAUGGGUUACAAUGAAAUUAUUUAUAUGGUUAUAAUAAUUAACAUUAUUAUAUAAAUUGGAUUUGAGAGUAAUAUAUUUGAUUUAAAAUAUAUGAUUUUAGCUCUAAAAUAUGUACAUAUCGCCCGUCACUUUCACUGAAAAAUAAAGUGAAAUAAGUCGUAACAUAGUAGGCGUACCGGAAGGUGUGCCUGGGUUGAC